CUACGGAGGGUGCAAGCGUUACUCGGAAUCACUGGGCGUAAAGCGCGCGCAGGCGGCUAUUUAAGUUGGAUGUGAAAGCCUACGGCUCAACCGUAGAACUGCAUCCAAAACUAUUUAGCUAGAGUGUGAGAGAGGAAGAUGGAAUUAGUUGUGUAGGGGUAAAAUCCGUAGAGAUAACUAGGAAUACCAAAAGCGAAGGCAAUCUUCUGGAACACUACUGACGCUGAGGCACGAAAGCGUGGGGAGCAAACAGAAUUAGAUACCCCAGUAGUCC
rnacentral:rRNA from 1 species